rnacentral:rRNA from 1 species
UGGGGAAUUUUGGACAAUGGGCGAAAGCCUCAUCCAGCAAUGCCGCGUGUGUGAAGAAGGCCUUCGGGUUGUAAAGCACUUUUGUCCGGAAAGAAAUCCUUGGCUCUAAUACAGUCGGGGGAUGACGGUACCGGAAGAAUAAGCACCGGCUAACUACGUGCCAGCAGCCGCGGUAAUACGUAGGGUGCAAGCGUUAAUCGGAAUUACUGGGCGUAAAGCGUGCGCAGGCGGUUUGCUAAGACCGAUGUGAAAUCCCCGGGCUCAACCUGGGAACUGCAUUGGUGACUGGCAGGCUAGAGUAUGGCAGAGGGGGGUAGAAUUCCACGUGUAGCAGUGAAAUGCGUAGAGAUGUGGAGGAAUACCGAUGGCGAAGGCAGCCCCCUGGGCCAAUACUGACGCUCAUGCACGAAAGCGUGGGGGAGCAAACAGGAUUAGAUACCCUGGUAGUCCACGCCCUAAACGAUGUCAACUAGUUGUUGGGGAUUCAUUUCCUUAGUAACGUAGCUAACGCGUGAAGUUGACCGCCUGGGGAGUACGGUCGCAAGAUUAAAACUCAAAUGAAUUGACGGGGUC